UCGAGGGGCAGCAUAAAAAUAGCUUGCUAUUUUGGUGGCGACCGGCGCACGGGUGCGUAACGCGUAUGCAAUCUACCCUAUACUGAGGGAUAGCCCGGAGAAAUUCGGAUUAAUACCUCAUAGUAUUUAUGAAUCGCAUGGUUUAUAAAUUAAAGGUUACGGUAUAGGAUGAGCAUGCGUCCCAUUAGCUAGAUGGUAAGGUAACGGCUUACCAUGGCAACGAUGGGUAGGGGGCCUGAGAGGGUAGUCCCCCACACUGGUACUGAGACACGGACCAGACUCCUACGGGAGGCAGCAGUGAGGAAUAUUGGUCAAUGGGCGCAAGCCUGAACCAGCCAUGCCGCGUGAAGGAAGAAGGAUCUAUGGUUUGUAAACUUCUUUUAUUUAGGAAUAAACUCUCGGACGUGUCCGAGCCUGAAGGUACUAAAUGAAUAAGCACCGGCUAACUCCGUGCCAGCAGCCGCGGUAAUACGGAGGGUGCAAGCGUUAUCCGGAAUCAUUGGGUUUAAAGGGUCCGCAGGCGGUCUUAUAAGUCAGUGGUGAAAUCUCGUAGCUUAACUAUGAAACUGCCAUUGAUA
rnacentral:rRNA from 1 species